GGAGUCAUAGCUCAGUGGUAGAGGUCAGUUAUCCCAUCUACCUAAGUCUCUUCGGACACUCAAACUAACAAUUUACAGCGAAGGAUUGCAGUUGCAUACUAGAAAUCAAUCCUUAGGUCGCCGGUUCGAUCCCGGCUGGCUCCU